AUACGUAGGAUCCGAGCGUUGUCCGGAAUUACUGGGUGUAAAGGGUGCGCAGGCGGAUUUGUACGUCAGAGGUUAAAUGUCACCGCUUAACGGUGAACCUGCCUUUGAUACGGCAAGUCUUGAGUGUGAGAGAGGUAAGUAGAAUUCCUGGUGUAGCGGUGAAAUGCGUAGAUAUCAGGAGGAAUACCAGUGGCGAAGGCGGCUUACUGGCUCACAACUGACGCUUAGGCACGAAAGCGCGGGGAGC
rnacentral:rRNA from 1 species